rnacentral:rRNA from 1 species
AGUCAUAUGCUUGUUUAUAAAGACUAAGCCAUGCAUGUCUAAGUAUAGAUGCUUUUGUACUUCGAAACUGCGAACGGCUCAUUAUAUAAGUUAUAAUUUACUUGAUCGUAUCCUCCUUACAUGGAUAACCGUAGUAAUUCUAGAGCUAAUACAUGCAAAAGUCCUCGACUGUGGUGACACGGAAGAGGAGUAUUUAUUAGAUACAAAACCGAUGCUGGCCAUUCCAAACGCUUCGGCGGGUCAGGUUCUUUGGUGAUUCAUAAUAACUAGACGAAGCGCAGAGGGCUCGACCCGGCGCUGAUACAAAAAAGUUUCUUCCCUAUCAACUUUCGAUGGUAGUAUAGAGGACUACCAUGGUCGUAACGGGUAACGGGGAAUUAGGGUUCGAUUCCGGAGAAGGAGCCUGAGAAACGGCUACUACUUCCAAGGAAGGCAGCAGGCGCGCAAAUUACCCAAUCUCAAUUCGAGGAGGUAGUGACAAGAAAUACCAUUGGCGGACACUACGUGUACGCUAUUUGGAAUGAGAACAAUUUAAACACCUUAACGAGGAACAAUUGGAGGGCAAGUCUGGUGCCAGCAGCCGCGGUAAUUCCAGCUCCAAUAGUGUAUAUUAAUUCUGUUGUGGUUAAAAAGCUCGUAGUCGGAUUUCGGAGCGCUGGAGUCAAGGUCCGUCCAAGUGGCGUGGCCCGACACCGGCCUCCUCAUAUCUGGGUGACAGCCUCCUGGCCUUCGCGGGUCGGGAUGUGCAGUUCCCAGUCGUUUAUUAUGACAAACUCAGAGUGUUCAAAGCAGGCGUAAUAGCCUUGAAUGCUACAGCAUGAGAUAAUAGAAGAUGACGAUGGUCUUAUUUUGUUGGUUUCUAAGGCUGCCGUAAUGAUUAAUAGGGCCAGUUGGGGUCACUCGUAUUGAGUUGUCAGAGGUGAAAUUCUAUGAUUUGCUCAAGACGAACUACUGCGAAAGCAUGUGACAAGCAUGGUUUCAUUGAUCAAGAACGAAAGUUGGGGGAUCGAAGAUGAUCAGAUACCGUCGUAGUCUCAACCAUAAACUAUGUGGACCAAGGAUCCGAGGACGUUAAAUGGAUGACUCUCCGGGCACUUUGUGAGAAAUCAUAAGUAUUUGCAUUCCGGGGGGAGUAUGGUCGCAAGUCUGAAACUUAAAGGAAUUGACGAAGGCACCACCAGGAGUGAACCUGCGGCUUAAUUUGACUCAACACGGGAAAACUUACCAGGUCUGGACACAGUUAGGAUUGACAGAUUGAGAGCUCUUUCUUGAUUCUGUGGGUGGUGGUGCAUGGCCGUUUUUAGUUGGUGGAGUGAUUUGUCUGGUUAAUUCCGUUAACGAACGAGACCUUAACCUAUUAAUUAGUUAUGCGAACAUGGGCUUCUCGGCCCUGUCUGUUCGUGGGAACUUCUUAGAGGGACUCUCGGCAUCUCUAGCCGAUGGAAGUUUGAGGCAAAAACAGGUCUGUGAUGCCCUUAGAUGUCCUGGGCCGCACGCGCGUUACACUGACGAUUGCAACGAGUUCUAUCCUUCCCCGAUGGGGGCGGGCAAGCUUUUAAAAGAUCGUCGUGAUGGGGAUUGCUGCUUGCAACUAUUCAGCAUGAACGAGGAAUUCCUAGUAAGCGCAGUUCAUCAAACUGCGUUGAUUACGUCCCUGCCCUUUGUACACACCGCCCGUCGCUAGUACCGAUUGAAUGGUCUGGUGAGAACUCAGGACGGCGGAGAUGCAGUUUACUCGCAAGGGUAAGCGGUCACUGCCGGAACGUGUUCAAAUCAUGCCAUUUAGAGGAACUAAAAGUCGUAACAAGGUUUCC